rnacentral:rRNA from 1 species
UACGUAGGGUGCGAGCGUUGUCCGGAAUUAUUGGGCGUAAAGAGCUCGUAGGCGGUCUGUCGCGUCGGUCGUGAAAACUUGGGGCUUAACCCUGAGCUUGCGGUCGAUACGGGCAUGACUGGAGUUCGGUAGGGGAGACUGGAAUUCCUGGUGUAGCGGUGAAAUGCGCAGAUAUCAGGAGGAACACCGGUGGCGAAGGCGGGUCUCUGGGCCGAUACUGACGCUGAGGAGCGAAAGCUAGGGGAGCAAACGGG